UACAGAGGUCCCAAGCGUUGUUCGAAUUCACUGGGCGUAAAGGGUGCGUAGGCGGUCGGGUAAGUCUGACGUGAAAUGCCGGAGCUCAACUCCGGAACGGCGUUGGAAACUAUUCGGCUUGAGGAUUGGAGGGGGGACUGGAAUUCUCGGUGUAGCAGUGAAAUGCGUAGAUAUCGAGAGGAACACCCGUGGCGAAGGCGAGUCCCUGGACAAUUCCUGACGCUGAGGCACGAAAGCUAGGGGAGCAAACAGGAUUAGAUACCCUGGUAGUCCUAGCCCUAAACGGUGCAUGUUUGCUGUGGGCGGAAUCGACCCCGUCCGUGGCGAAGCUAACGCAUUAAACAUGCCGCCUGGGAAGUACGGCCGCAAGGCUAAA
rnacentral:rRNA from 1 species